rnacentral:rRNA from 1 species
AUGAACGCUAGCGACAGGCUUAACACAUGCAAGUCGAGGGGCAGCACAGGUAGCAAUACCGGGUGGCGACCGGCGCACGGGUGAGUAACGCGUAUGCAACUUACCUAUCAGAGGGGGAUAACCCGGCGAAAGUCGGACUAAUACCGCAUGAAGCAGGGGCCCCGCAUGGGGAUAUUUGCUAAAGAUUCAUCGCUGAUAGAUAGGCAUGCGUUCCAUUAGGCAGUUGGCGGGGUAACGGCCCACCAAACCGACGAUGGAUAGGGGUUCUGAGAGGAAGGUCCCCCACAUUGGUACUGAGACACGGACCAAACUCCUACGGGAGGCAGCAGUGAGGAAUAUUGGUCAAUGGCCGAGAGGCUGAACCAGCCAAGUCGCGUGAGGGAUGAAGGUUCUAUGGAUCGUAAACCUCUUUUAUAAGGGAAUAAAGUGCGGGACGUGUCCCGUUUUGUAUGUACCUUAUGAAUAAGGAUCGGCUAACUCCGUGCCAGCAGCCGCGGUAAUACGGAGGAUCCGAGCGUUAUCCGGAUUUAUUGGGUUUAAAGGGUGCGUAGGCGGCCUUUUAAGUCAGCGGUGAAAGUCUGUGGCUCAACCAUAGAAUUGCCGUUGAAACUGGGGGGCUUGAGUAUGUUUGAGGCAGGCGGAAUGCGUGGUGUAGCGGUGAAAUGCAUAGAUAUCACGCAGAACCCCGAUUGCGAAGGCAGCCUGCCAAGCCAUUACUGACGCUGAUGCACGAAAGCGUGGGGAUCAAACAGGAUUAGAUACCCUGGUAGUCCACGCAGUAAACGAUGAUUACUAGGAGUUUGCGAUACAAUGUAAGCUCUACAGCGAAAGCGUUAAGUAAUCCACCUGGGGAGUACGCCGGCAACGGUGAAACUCAAAGGAAUUGACGGGGGCCCGCACAAGCGGAGGAACAUGUGGUUUAAUUCGAUGAUACGCGAGGAACCUUACCCGGGUUUGAACGCAUUCGGACCGAGGUGGAAACACCUUUUCUAGCAAUAGCCGUUUGCGAGGUGCUGCAUGGUUGUCGUCAGCUCGUGCCGUGAGGUGUCGGCUUAAGUGCCAUAACGAGCGCAACCCUUGCCACUAGUUACUAACAGGUAAAGCUGAGGACUCUGGUGGGACUGCCAGCGUAAGCUGCGAGGAAGGCGGGGAUGACGUCAAAUCAGCACGGCCCUUACAUCCGGGGCGACACACGUGUUACAAUGGCGUGGACAAAGGGAAGCCACCUGGCGACAGGGAGCGAAUCCCCAAACCACGUCUCAGUUCGGAUCGGAGUCUGCAACCCGACUCCGUGAAGCUGGAUUCGCUAGUAAUCGCGCAUCAGCCAUGGCGCGGUGAAUACGUUCCCGGGCCUUGUACACACCGCCCGUCAAGCCAUGGGAGCCGGGGGUACCUGAAGUCCGUAACCGCGAGGAUCGGCCUAGGGUAAAACUGGUGACUGGGGCU